rnacentral:rRNA from 1 species
AGGCCUUUAUAAAAAUCCAUAUCCACCUUGUGUGCAAUGUCAUCUCACUGGAGGUCGCGGCUGUAAAAAUCCGUUGGCCACCUUUGGGAUUUAUAUCUACUCAGAACUUUAGUGAUUUUGUCUGAACCAUAUUAUGAAUACUUAAUUCAAAAUACAACUUUCAACAACGGAUCUCUUGGCUCUCGCAUCGAUGAAGAACGCAGCGAAAUGCGAUACGUAAUGUGAAUUGCAGAAUUCAGUGAAUCAUCGAAUCUUUGAACGCAUAUUGCGCUCUGGUAUUCCGGAGAGCAUGCUUGUUUGAGUAUCAGUAAACACCUCAACUCCCUUUUCUUUUUUGAAAUGGGAGCUGGACUUGAGUGAUCCCAACGCUUCUCUCACCGAGAAGUGGCGGGUUACUUGAAAUGCAGGUGCAGCUGGACUUUUCUCUGAGCUAUAAGCAUAUCUAUUUAGUCUGCCUAAAAAACAGAUUAUUACCUUUGCUGCAGCUAACAUAAAGGAGAUUAGUUCUUAUGCUGACUGAUGCAGGAUUCACAGAGACAGCUUCGGC